AUUGAACGCUGGCGGCGUGCCUAACACAUGCAGGUCGAGCGGUAACAGGUGUAGCAAUACAUGCUGACGAGCGGCGGACGGGUGAGUAACGCUUGGGAAUCUGCCUGUUAGUGGGGGACAACCCGGGGAAACUCGGGCUAAUACCGCAUACGCACUACGGUGGAAAGCCGGGGACCGCAAGGCCUGGCGCUAACAGAUGAGCCCAAGUCGGAUUAGCUAGUUGGUAGGGUAACGGCCACCAAGGCGAUGAUCCGUAACUGGUCUGAGAGGACGACCAGUCACACCGGAACUGAGACACGGUCCGGACUCCUACGGGAGGCAGCAGUGGGGAAUAUUGGACAAUGGGCGAAAGCCUGAUCCAGCGACGCCGCGUGGGUGAAGAAGGCCUGCGGGUUGUAAAGCCCUUUCGGUGGGAAGAAAGCCUCGAGUUAACACCUCGGGGUCUUGACGUAACCCAUAGAAGAAGCACCGGCUAACUCUGUGCCAGCCGCCGCGGUAAG
rnacentral:rRNA from 1 species